AGCCGCCGCGGUAAUACCUGCAGCCCAAGUGGUGGUCGAUUUUAUUGAGUCUAAAGCGUUCGUAGCCGGUCUGGUAAAUCCUUGGGUAAAUCGGGAGGCUUAACUUUCCGAAUUCCGAGGACACUGCCAGACUUGGGACCGGGAGAGGCUAGAGGUACUUCUGGGGUAGGGGUAAAAUCCUGUAAUCCUAGAAGGACCACCGGUGGCGAAGGCGUCUAGCUAGAACGGAUCCGACGGUGAGGGACGAAGCCCUGGGUCGCAAACGGGAUUAGAUACCCCGGUAGUCCAGGGUGUAAACGCUGCCGACUUGGUGUUGGAGGCCCUUCGGGGGCAUUCAGUGCCGGAGAGAAGUUGUUAAGUCUGCUACUUGGGGAGUACGUCCGCAAGGAUGAAACUUAAAGGAAUUGGCGGGGGAGCACCGCAACGGGAGGAGCGUGCGGUUUAAUUGGAUUCAACACCGGAAAACUCACCAAGGGCGACCAUUACAUGAAAGCCAGGCUAAUGACCUUGCUAGAUUUUUGGAGAGGUGGUGCAUGGCCGUCGUCAGUUCGUACCGUAAGGCGUUCUCUUAAGUGAGAUAACGAACGAGACCCUCACUGAUAAUUGCUA
rnacentral:rRNA from 1 species